CCUACGGGUGGCAGCAGUGGGGGAUAUUGCACAAUGGGGGCAACCCUGAUCCAGCGACGCCGCGUGGGUGAAGAAGCGCCUCGGCGCGUAAAGCCCUGUCAGCAGGGACGAAAAUUCCGGUACCUGUAGAAGAAGCCCCGGCUAACUACGUGCAAGCAGCCGCGGUAAUACGUAGGGGGCAAGCGUUAUCCGGAUUUACUGGGUGUAACGGGGGCGCAGUUGGCGAUGCAAGCCAGGAGUGAAAGCCUGGGGCCGAACCCCGGGACUGCUGUUGGAACUGCGUGGCUAGAGUGCAGGAGGGGCAGGCGGAAUUCCUGGUGUAGCGGUGAAAUGCGUAGAUAUCAGGAGGAACACCGAUGGCGAAGGCAGCCUGCUGGACUGCAACUGACGUUGAGGCCCGAAAGCGUGGGUAGCAAACAGGAUUAGAUACCCGUGUAGUC
rnacentral:rRNA from 1 species